GAGUUGGUUAAAGUCAGCUUUUUUGAAGCCCAGUGUUUUUAUUCUGCUGCUCUCCUUUCUUCCUCUCCUUAGGAUUUUGAACUCUAUCAUAUUGAAGUCACGGUCACUCAAG